GUGGGGAAUAUUGGACAAUGGGGGCAACCCUGAUCCAGCAAUGCCGCGUGUGUGAAGAAGGCCUUCGGGUUGUAAAGCACUUUCGGUGGGGACAAACAAGGCGGAGCUAACAUCUCCGUCCCUGAUGGUACCCAAAGAAGAAGCACCGGCUAACUCUGUGCCAGCAGCCGCGGUAAUACAGAGGGUGCAAGCGUUAAUCGGAAUUACUGGGCGUAAAGCGUGCGUAGGUGGUUUGUUAAGUCAGGUGUGAAAUCCUCGGGCUCAACCCGGGAACUGCGCUUGAUACUGGCAGACUCGAGUGUGGUAGAGGAUAGUGGAAUUCCCGGUGUAGCGGUGAAAUGCGUAGAUAUCGGGAGGAACAUCAGUGGCGAAGGCGGCUAUCUGGACCAACACUGACACUGAGGUACGAAAGCGUGGGUAGCAAACAGGAUUAGAAACCCUAGUAGUCC
rnacentral:rRNA from 1 species